rnacentral:rRNA from 1 species
GACGUAGGGCGCGAGCGUUGUCCGGAUUUAUUGGGCGUAAAGAGCGUGUAGGCGGUUUGGUAGGUCCGCUGUGAAAACUCGAGGCUCAACCUCGAGACGCCGGUGGAAACCAUCAGGCUAGAGUCCGGAAGAGGAGAGUGGAAUUCCUGGUGUAGCGGUGAAAUGCGUAGAUAUCAGGAGGAACACCGGUGGCGAAGGCGGGUCUCUGGGCCGAUACUGACGCUGAGGAGCGAAAGCGUGGGGAGCGAACAGG